rnacentral:lncRNA from 10 species
CACGGUGCUUUUGCCGAAACCACCUGUGGACUCUGGAGCGCCUCAUUCGGCAUUCUCACACUGCUGCUCAAGGAAUUCACCACAGUUAAUGGAGUAGGGCAAAGGCCCAAUGCUUGUGACCUUGGAGGUCUUCCGUGGUCCUCCUCUCCCCGAAGCAGCUCACGAACAGGACCGUGGAAUGGCCUUCGGGAGACUCACACGGCGCCUGCUGAGUGGGGACGCUUUGCAGAGAGGGCCGUGUCCUCCAGGAGGCGGUCCAGGCUCUGAAUUAGAGUCAGUCUAUGGAGCGGUUUCUCCUGCCGCCCAGACCUCACGGUUCUGGGAGUCCAGAAGGGGAAGUGGCAAUGGCUUCUCUUCACCCUCAUGACAUUCUGCUGGUGAUGUGUUUGCUCCCUGUCCCCACAACUCUAGGUCCUCUUGGUGUAGAAGUCUGAGUUCUCGAGGGAGGAGAGUUUCCCGCAGAGACACCAACGGCUCCACCAGACUGGAAGGUGAGAUUGCACCAGGCCAUUUUGGGAUCCUCACUGCAGAGAAUCAAUAGGUAAAAAAGGCAGUUACUGCCCGGGCCACGGGACUGAUUUUAUCGGGCGGAAUCGGCCGGGUUGCACAAGGAGGAUGAGGAGGAGCACGUCUGGAAUGCGGAGGGUCCCCUGCAGCGCCUCUUAAGGUUCCCAUGUCCUGUGAUUAAAAUCAUGGAAAACCAUCACCCCUGAUCCAAGCAGGGUCAUUCAGGACCCAGGCUCUCCAGGAAUGAAGGCUUAGGGCAUCCCACCAGGCAAAGAGCCACAUCAGCUGAGUGCUUGCGGAGGCGAAGGCUAUGCGGGAGACGGAGGCUGAAACGCUAGUUCCCGCUGCUCGGCUGCUGCAGAAACGAAGCCUAUCACAGUGAGACCCAGGGCCCAGCCCAGAGACUCUCGGUCGGCUGGAAGAUCACCAGGCUCCCCCGGCUGGUUUCACGUCCUUCACAGACCACCCACGGCGCGCUGUCCAGCGUUUGAGAACUUGCCUCACAAACUGUGUGACUGCAUCCUGGUUGCUGGUUGUGUGCAGUGAAGGCCACGUGUGGUCCUAACUGCUCUAUCACGGCC